GAGAGAACUUUCUGCACAACAUAACUCUGCUCUGCAUUUGGUAAAAUCCAGUGUGCAUCUCGGAAGGCAUUCAUUACUCCAUCUAGCCAUGUAAGCUGGUGAAGAGAUCGUUCCAAGCAACAAUAAUAGAAAUGGCAUGAUUUCUCUCCCCCCACCCCGUGCAAAUCUGAAGCGACACAGUCCAAAAAGAAGUCUCACCCAGAAUGAAUCAAGGAGGGGAACGUAAAUAUGGAGAGAGUGGAAAGAUGCACUGGAAAAUUUGAAGAAUCCAGUAUUGUACCUGUGGAUUGGCAGCAUUGCUGGCAAGACGGUCGUGGAACUACAGGGAAAGUGUGUCAUCACCACCACUAAGAAUUAAACAGCUAUACCAGAUCAUGGACACCCUGGUUCUCUGCUUAGGCAGUGGUGAUUAAUGGAUCCAGAAGGAUUCCGGAGAGAAUGUUGAGAUUUUCCCAGCAAGUGACAAUAUGGUGGGCAGUUUCAU